UACUAGUACUACCACUAGCAAUAUCUCGAUCAUCAGUAGUGCAAGCUAGGUGCAAGCAGAGGCUGGCAUUUUUUCUUCUUGUUCUUCUUCUUCUUCGAUCUCAUUUGGAUGAUUUGGGCUGCUUGACGAUCAUGACGGAGCAGUGCGCGUGGUGCGCGCAGUAGUCGCUGACGCUCCCGAGCAGCGCCCUCUUGAUGGCGCCGUAGCCAUGGCUGCCCACCACCAGCAGGUCCGCGCGGUGCUUCUCCGCGGCGCCGCACAGCACGGCCCGGGGCUCCCCUUCCACCACCUCGAUGAGCGCGUGCACCGAGUUGGCGACGCACACGCGGCGCGCCCUGUCCACCACGGCCUCCGCCAUCUUGCGCAGGUCGGCGUCCACGUACCUGAUCGCCUCGCCGGCUCCUGUUCGGUCGGUCGAGAGAAACGAUGGAUGGAUGGGAUGAGGAAGCUUAAUUUUGACGAUCGACGUACGGAGGGCGAAAGGGUAUCGGUAGUAUCUUACCAGGGCCGCCGAAGCUGACGACGGAGGACGGCGAGGGCUUGGCGUGGACGAUGACGAGGUCGGCGGCGCCGCCCGCCAUGCCGCCGGCGCCCGUCACGUGCCGCACCGUCCACUCCAGCGCGUAGUAGCUGUGGUCGCUGUCGUCCACCGCGACCACCACCACAGUCUUCUUCUUCGGCUGCUGCUGCUGCUGCGGCGGCUGCUCCCCUGAAGCCAGGCCCAAACCCGCCGCCGCGGCUGGAGCUGCAGUCUCCGUCUUAGCCUCCGCCGCCAUGGAAGCAAAUAAGGCCUUGUUUACUUCCCAGAAAAUUUUGCAAAUUUUUUCACAUUCUCCGUCACAUCGAAUCUUUAGACGCAUAUAUGGAGUAUCAAAUAUAGACGAAAAUAAAAACUAAUUGCACAGUUUGGUCGAAAUUGACGAGACGAAUCUUUUGAGCCUAGUUAGUGCAUGAUUGGAAAAUAUUUGUCAAAUACAAACGAAAAUACUACAGUACCUGUUUUGCAAAAAUUUUUGGAACUAAACAAGGCCUAAGCUGACUGUGCUUGUGGUGUGGCGCAAUCGAUUGAUGAGACUCUCUGCGUGGAUUGGAUCGAUUGGAGACUUGGACUGGACGCUUUGGAUCGAGCAGUGCAAGUAGAACGCGGGGUGAGCUAGCAGAGCAGCCGCCGGUAGUUUAU
rnacentral:lncRNA from 1 species